GGCUGUUUGUUUUUGUUGGGUUUGUCAAUGUUGCCUUUGUUCGGGAGAUUGUGUCAUCGCCUAGAUGCCGGGAACAAAGUGCGACCCUGUGUGAUUAAACAAAAACAAACAGCCCUGUGUGUCAUUAGAUGGACCUGGACACUCGGUGUGCAGCCGUAGAAGGGCCAGGUGUCAGGAGGGAGACAGUGCCUGACCCCAGCCAGCGAGCCUGCUGGGAAAAGUGAAUUGGUUCUGAACAGGUUCACAACACUCCUGAAAUCCAUACACCCCAGUCAAGAGCCUCUGAUUACAGAAUGGAAUGUGAAGGGGAAAAGCAUCAUUGAUUGAGCCUUAUACUUCCUGUCAUCUGAUCCUUACAGCAGCCCUGAGAGAGGUGUGUUCUGACUCAAGUUUUCUAAUGAGGAACUUCAGGCUCAGAGAGGUAGGAUGAGCUGUCCAAAGUCAACCAGGUCCAGCUCAGGGCCCCCCGACACUCCCUCCACACAGAGGUGCCUCCUUCGGGGAGUCAAACCACGGAACAAGGUGUUCAGUUGACCUUUGGCCCCAGA